rnacentral:rRNA from 1 species
UACGAAGGGGGCUAGCGUUGUUCGGAAUUACUGGGCGUAAAGCGCACGUAGGCGGAUACUUAAGUUAGGGGUGAAAUCCCGGGGCUCAACCCCGGAACUGCCUUUAAGACUGCAUCGCUAGAAUUGUGGAGAGGUAAGUGGAAUUCCGAGUGUAGAGGUGAAAUUCGUAGAUAUUCGGAAGAACACCAGUGGCGAAGGCGACUUACUGGACACAUAUUGACGCUGAGGUGCGAAAGCGUGGGGAGCAAACAGG